rnacentral:rRNA from 1 species
UACGAAGGGGGCUAGCGUUGCUCGGAAUCAUUGGGCGUAAAGCGCACGUAGGCGGCCUGUUAAGUCGGAUGUGAAAGCCCUGGGCUCAACCCAGGAAGUGCAUUCGAAACUGGCGGGCUUGAAUAUGGAAGAGGGUCGCGGAAUUCCCGGUGUAGUGGUGAUAUGCGUAGAUAUCGGGAGGAACACCUGUGGCGAAGGCGGCUUUCUGGGCCUUACCUGACGCUGAGACGCGAAAGCGUGGGGAGCGAACCGG